UUGGGGUAUUUUGGGGAUAUUUUGGGGUAUUCUGGGGUGUCUCAGGGAUAUUUUGGGGUAUUUUGGGGUAUCUGAGGGAUUUUGGGGGUUCUGGGGACAUUUAGGGAGAUUCUGGAUAUUUUGGGCUGUUCCAAGGAUUUCUGGGGUUUGGGGUUUUUUUUUGGGGGGUUUCAGGGGUAUUUGGGGGUAUUUUUGGGGUGGUUUUGGGUAUUUUGGGGUGUCUCAGGUGCAUUUUGGGGUGUCACAGGUGUAUUUUGGGGUGUCUCAGGGGCAUUUUGGGUUAUCUCAGGUGUAUUUUGAGGUGUCUCAUGUGUGUUCAGGGUUAUUCUGGGUUAUCUCAGGGAUAUUCUGGGGUGUCUCAGGUACGUUCUGGGGUGUCUCAGGUGUAUUUUGGGGUCUCUCAGGUGUGCUCAGGGUUAUUCUGGGGUGUCUCAGGUGUAUUUUGGGGUGUCUCAGGUGUAUUCAGGGUUAUUCUGGGGUGUCUCAGGGACAAUUUUGGGUUAUUUUGGGUUACUUUGGGCAGUUUUGGGCGCCCCGGGCCGGGCUGUACCUCGGGGUAACUCGGGGGUAUUUUGGGUUAUUUCAGGUGUCUCAGGUGUAUUCUGGGGUGUCUCAGGUGUAUUUUGGGGUUCCCCCCCUGGAUUUUGGGGUCCCCCCAGAGGAUUUUGGGGUCCCUCCAGGUUUUGGGGUUCCAGGUUUGCGAAGAGCAGGGCCAGAGUGGCCAGGUGAAUUUUUGUGGGGAUCCCUGGGGAUUUCGGGGUCCCCCUGGGGAUUUCCCCCCCCCCCCCCCCCCCCCCCCCCCCCUGGGGAUGUUGGGGUCCCCCUGGGGAUUUCGGGGUCCCCCAGGAUUUCGGGGUCCCCCAGGGUUUUGGGGUCCCACCUGUGGAUGGCGAAGAGCAGCGCCAGCGCAGCCACGGUUUUCUCGCCCCCGGACAGGUUGUCCAUGGGCCGGAAUCGCUUCCCGGGGGCGACGCAGUUGUAAUUGAUCCCGUCCAGGUACGGCUCCUCGGGGUUCUCGGGGCCUAAAAACGCCUGACAGACAGGUGUGAGACAGGUGUGAGACAGGUGAGAGACAGGUGAGACACAGGUGUGAGACAGGUGAGACAGGUGUGAGACAGGUGAGGGACAGGUGAGGGACAGGUGAGACAGGUGUGGGACAGGUGAUCCUGCUGAGGAGAACCACGACCAGAUCGGAAGACCCCCCCCCCCCCCCCCCCCCCCCCCCCCCCCCCCCCCCCCCCCCCCCCCCCCCCCC
rnacentral:lncRNA from 12 species